UACGAAAGGAAUGGAACCUGAGAAGUAAUUCCAUGGCGAGCUCUUCACCCCCGUGCAAGGUAUCAAAGAUAGAAAGAUAAAUGAGGCAUCUGUUGUAGCAUUAAAUGCCGAGAAUUUGCAGAAAUCUCCAAUUCAUUAUCACAGCUUCCUUCUCGAAUACAAGUUAUGGAGAUUUUGUGCGAAUUGAAGACAGUUAUGAUUCAAAGAAUGGUGACAUUAAGUUCAAGGCUUUUCUAGCUAUAAUUAGUUUGGCGGCGGCGUUCCUAACUUUUUUCCGAUUACUUCUAUUAGUCUAGUGGCGGUGUUCGUGAUUUGUUUCCUGAAAUCCCUGCUUCCCUGACACUCUUCCAGUUCGGGUUGAGGUGUAAAGUUGGGGAUGGGAUAUGGUUUACUACAGAGUUGAUUAUUAUGGCCUUAUAUACCAGAGUCGUAUGUUGCCACAAAGUUGGGCGAGGAACUAUCACAACUGUUCUUUCUCCUGUUAGGCCGGCCGUGUUUAAUUUUCCUAAACUUAGCCAUGUAAAUUUUUAUUGCUUAGCCAUGAAUUCUAUAUAUGUAACCUACAUCAAGUAAUUAGUCGUGUUUCUUAUCAUCUACGGAGUACUGUAUUCAUACUUUCAACUAUUUCUAUGGAGUAAUUAGGCUUGUGAUUUGUAUAGUGUUCCGGGAGAUAGUGUUUUAUAUCUUGGGGGAACGUGCGCGCUAGCGCACGUUCC